ACGUGACGUCAUAUACACCCCCCUCCCCCGCCGCGCCCUGAGCCCUACCUCACAAGCCUAAGAACGGCUGAGUGCCAAGGGACCGGAUGUCGGCAGCGAACGAGCGGAAGUGAUUGUGGGCUAAGCCGAUUGGCGCUGGACCUUCUGCAUCCAUGAAUUCUGGGUGUAAAAGUGAGGCUGAGCCUGCAACCUCGUAAGACUAGCAAGUCACACACACACACCCCAACUGUGAGCCUUAUCGGAUGCUGCUGGUAGAAAGGAGUGGAACACUUGGUGGUUGGAAUAGAAUUCCACAAGCUCUCCUCUUGAAGCCCUGGGCAAGUAUAAAACAAAGCAGGAAGGUCCUAUCCCGCCCCCUUCACCUUUUCCCUGCCCAAGAAGGAAGAACACAAAACAAGGGCUCUUUCUUCUGGGCUCUGCCACCUCCCCCAGCCCUGCCCUGCCCCGGACACCACAGAAAUGAACAAGAGACUCCCCCUUAAAUAGUUGUUUAUUGGCAGUGGGCUCGAAAGGGUGAUGGAGUUAGCAUACACAGACAAUACCACAGACCAAUGUCACCAGGGAGGCAAGGAGAAUGGGAAAGAACAGCCUAAA